rnacentral:rRNA from 2 species
UAAGCGGAGGAAACCAACAGGGAUUGCCCUAGUAACGGCGAGUGAAGCGGCAACAGCUCAAAUUUGAAACCUGGCGCUUGCGUCCGGAUUGUAAUUUGUAGAGGAUGCUUCUGGGCAGCGGCCGUUCUAAGUUCCUUGGAACAGGACGUCAUAGAGGGUGAGAAUCCCGUAUGUGACCGGCGCGCACCCUCCACGUAGCUCCUUCGACGAGUCGAGUUGUUUGGGAAUGCAGCUCUAAAUGGGAGGUAAAUUUCUUCUAAAGCUAAAUAUUGGCCAGAGACCGAUAGCGCACAAGUAGAGUGAUCGAAAGAUGAAAAGCACUUUGGAAAGAGAGUUAAAAAGCACGUGAAAUUGUUGAAAGGGAAGCGCUUCCAACCAGACUCCGCGGCGGUGUUCCGCCGGUCUUCUGACCGGUCCACUCGCCGCCGUGGGGCCAACAUCGUCUGGGGCCGCCGGAUAAGACCGGAGGAAUGUAGCUCAUUGAGUGUUAUAGCCUCCGGUGAUGCGGCGCGUCCCGGGCGAGGUCCGCGCUUCGGCAAGGAUGUUGGCGUAAUGGUUGGCAGCGGCCCGUCUUGAAACACGGACCAAGGAGUCUAACAUCUAUGCGAGUGUUCGGGUGUCAAACCCCUACGCGUAAUGAAAGUGAACGGAGGUGGGAGCUUCGGCGCACCAUCGACCGAUCCUGAUGUCCUCGGAUGGAUUUGAGUAAGAGCAUAGCUGUUGGGACCCGAAAGAUGGUGAACUAUGCCUGAAUAGGGUGAAGCCAGAGGAAACUCUGGUGGAGGCUCGCAGCGGUUCUGACGUGCAAAUCGAUCGUCAAAUUUGGGUAUAGGGGCGAAAGACUAAU